AAAGAAAUACACAAAUGUAAACAACUGAAUCAUGUGAUUGUCUGUUUAAUGUGGUUUCAGUGUGUUCUAGAUGUCAUUAGUGCGGUGGUUUGUGGUUGAUAGACGUAAACAGAUG